GUAGGUAUAGCUCAGAGGUAGAGCGCAUGCCUAGCAUGCACAAGGUUCUGGGUUCAAUCCCCAGUGCUCCCA
rnacentral:tRNA from 1 species